GAGGCACGCUGAUAUGGUGGAAGUAGAGUCGAAAAUUCCGGAAGCGCUGGAUUUCAAAUGUGUUUCAUGUAUGCCGGUCGAACGAUAUGGAACCCAUUUGUUAUGGCUUUGUGAGGUAAUUCCACCCAAACUAUGUUGAUUGCCGGCAUGCAGCAUCACGUUGAAUUAUUUGUCGGGCUAAUGCCGGAGUGGCCUCUGCGUUGUCCUUGUUUUGCUUGGUCAAUGACUGCACGUCGCCAACUACGCAUUCUACGAAGGGGCGUAAAUGAUCUCCACGGUCACUUUUCUUGCUUUUUAUACCCAUCAGAUCGUCAUCAAGAACCCGGUUUACAACUUUGAGUGUGGAAUAAAAUGUUCGUAAUUGUCUUUUCUGAUGUGGUCAUCACUUACGUGCACGGCAACUUUAUAACGAUCAUAGACAAAUCUGUAUGGGCCACCUUAGAUACCACGACUUGUUCCCCCGGGUAAAAAUACCCGAGUCGAUGUGCCGGUUUAAAGGACUCAUUUUAAGAAGAACGGACUGGCGUACAUUGAUGUAUUCGAGCUCCAAGAUGAUGUACAAAGGACCGGAUGUAACGUCGAUGCAUUGCCCUCUUCAAACCCUUUGCGGCAACUCCUUAAGCCGUGGAACGAAACAUUGUCGAACAGUUGGAGCAGAUUCGUGGCCACUGAUAGCAUCGUACAUUUUCGUUUGGAGGUGAUUAUAUGGAAUCUACUAUCAACUGUGAUCCCCGGCAAAUACGCGGUUCAGCGAUAGGAACAUUGGAGAACAUGGAAUUAAUAACGGAGGAGCAUCAUACACCAGCACUGUAACGUCGCGAUUCAACCAGGCUAUUGACAUCCUAUUGUUUAGCCCAUCGCCAGAUCGUAGCCAGGAUGUCCCGGGCUAUACAUUUUUUUCAUAUUGCGUUUCAAUGAUGACUGCGGGCUAUGUCCAUUGAUGAUGAUGACACCGCGCUUGUCACCGGCUCGGAUUCAACGGUAACAACUUUUUAUAACUAGCAACUUAUAAGAGCAUCGCAUUACGAC